UCAUAUGGUCAUACCGUCUUGUCAAAGGUUGAUCUCAUCAGAUCUCAGAAGCUAAGUAAGGCCAGGCCUGGUCAGUCUGUGGGAGAUUGCUGGGAAUAAUAAGUGCCAUAGUGG
rnacentral:rRNA from 1 species